GAGCUUGCUCCCUGAUGUUAGCGGCGGACGGGUGAGUAACACGUGGGUAACCUGCCUGUAAGACUGGGAUAACUCCGGGAAACCGGGGCUAAUACCGGAUGGUUGUUUGAACCGCAUGGUUCAAACAUAAAAGGUGGCUUCGGCUACCACUUACAGAUGGACCCGCGGCGCAUUAGCUAGUUGGUGAGGUAACGGCUCACCAAGGCAACGAUGCGUAGCCGACCUGAGAGGGUGAUCGGCCACACUGGGACUGAGACACGGCCCAGACUCCUACGGGAGGCAGCAGUAGGGAAUCUUCCGCAAUGGACGAAAGUCUGACGGAGCAACGCCGCGUGAGUGAUGAAGGUUUUCGGAUCGUAAAGCUCUGUUGUUAGGGAAGAACAAGUACCGUUCGAAUAGGGCGGUACCUUGACGGUACCUAACCAGAAAGCCACGGCUAACUACGUGCCAGCAGCCGCGGUAAUACGUAGGUGGCAAGCGUUGUCCGGAAUUAUUGGGCGUAAAGGGCUCGCAGGCGGUUUCUUAAGUCUGAUGUGAAAGCCCCCGGCUCAACCGGGGAGGGUCAUUGGAAACUGGGGAACUUGAGUGCAGAAGAGGAGAGUGGAAUUCCACGUGUAGCGGUGAAAUGCGUAGAGAUGUGGAGGAACACCAGUGGCGAAGGCGACUCUCUGGUCUGUAACUGACGCUGAGGAGCGAAAGCGUGGGGAGCGAACAGGAUU
rnacentral:rRNA from 1 species